CAAAGACACAAAUACUUUAACAGGAUUUCUUUUCUUUCCAAUCCAAAGGAGCUUAGUUUUUGUAAAAUAUAUUCACAUUAUCUACUUCUGACUUUUAUGGAAAGGCAAAACUAGAAAUUUGCUGACAAUUUCAAAUCUGACUCAAUAAAGACUUCUAUGUAACAAGAGUAUGUUUGCUCAUCAUAUUUAGCAAAGUCAAAUAUAUUUUAUCAUUCAUAUUUACUAUUUAGUAUACCAUAUCAGAAUUAUAUUUCUUAGAAAUAUAACAAUUAGUAAUGGCAUAAUAUACUUCAAGUUAUACUCGUUCUAAUGCCAAUUUAUUUUUAAACUGAAAAAGGUUUAUGAAAACAAAGAAGACAAAACACAAAAUGGAGGUUGUAAAAGGAGAUUCUUUUCUAACAUAGCUAUAUGUAUACCAUAACAAACACAUUCUACUGAUGAUCAGAUACUUUUUGUGAGAUUUAAUUUUUUGCCAAUGUUCCCAUAAACAAUUUAACUUGCAAACUUAUAGGCAAAAAUAUCAACCACAUCAUGUCCAUAAAAAACAGACAUUUGCAAAAUCACAAUUUCUUAACAAUGCCAAUAUCAAAAAGCUGAAGACUAUGCAAAAUAAAAGUGACACAAAACUUACCCUUUCUACAGUAAUUAAGCACAUAAUAUCAUGAACACUUUCAUCAAAUAAAGAACUUCUUUGAUAUAAACUUCUUUCAGAAGACUUCCUACCACUUUUCAACUUUAAAAUACAUGUAUUCAGUAAAAGUCCCUCGAUGAUGGUCUAACAUGCAUAUUCAUAAAAAGCUCUAACAUGACUGUUGGACAUUUCAACAAUUUAACAAAACUGCACAUAAUUCAGCUUUAUUUUUGAAAUAUCUAUCAAAAUUCCUUCAUCAAAACUCCUGUGCAGAUAUUUGCAAUGAAAACUAAAGCAAGGGGAAGCAUAUGUUCGUAGAUAAUAUGAUGAAGACUAUUAAGCAUCAGAUUCUAUAACCACCAAAAGUAUUUUCAGGGCCGAAUGGAAAACUACCGAACUUGAAAAACAUUUUUUACGACACUUUUUCUUUAAACUCUCGAUUUGCUAGGAUGCGUGAAGUAGUGACUCUACUGAACGCUUGCUGAUAUGACAGUAGUGGUCACUGACUUGCAUAUAUACAUUAUAUCGAAAUUAGAUAUUUCUAUGUACAAAUAAUGCAAAGUACUUAUAAAAUGGAAAAAAAAAGAAAGUCCGUAUUUCUUUUGAUUAACUGAAGGUUUAAGACAUAUCUAGCAGCUUAAUAAUGAUAUUAUUAAUGAUAUUAAUUAAUUAAUUUUCAAUAGAACAAGUUUUAAGCAGAGUUUCAUAAAAACUAAACUUGGAGAUUGUAUGUCAUAACUUUACAACACCAUUAUGUAAAAGCAUAACUAAUUUGCACCAUAUGACAGCUCAUUAAAACAAAAACAAAA